rnacentral:rRNA from 1 species
UCGAGAAUCUUUCACAAUGGGGGCAACCCUGAUGGAGCGACGCCGCGUGGAGGAUAAGGUCUUCGGAUUGUAAACUCCUGUCAUGUGAGAGCAAGGCCUGCCAGUUAACAUCUGGCCUGCUUGAUAGUAUCACAAGAGGAAGAGACGGCUAACUCUGUGCCAGCAGCCGCGGUAAUACAGAGGUCUCAAGCGUUGUUCGGAAUCACUGGGCGUAAAGGGUGUGUAGGCUGUGCGUUAAGUCAGAUGUGAAAGCCCAGGGCUCAACCUUGGAACUGCAUCCGAUACUGGCGUGCUAGAGAAUUGGAGAGGAGUCUAGAAUUCACGGUGUAGCAGUGAAAUGCGUAGAUAUCGUGAGGAAUACCAAGUGCGAAGGCAGGACUCUGGACAUUUUCUGACGCUGAGACACGAAGGCUAGGGGAGCAAACGG